CACGUAGGGUGCGAGCGUUGUCCGGAAUUAUUGGGCGUAAAGAGCUCGUAGGCGGUUUGUCGCGUCUGCUGUGAAAUCUGGGGGCUCAACCCCCAGCCUGCAGUGGGUACGGGCAGACUAGAGUGCGGUAGGGGAGAUUGGAAUUCCUGGUGUAGCGGUGGAAUGCGCAGAUAUCAGGAGGAACACCGAUGGCGAAGGCAGAUCUCUGGGCCGUAACUGACGCUGAGGAGCGAAAGCAUGGGGAGCGAACAGG
rnacentral:rRNA from 1 species